GAACGGCAGCACAGCAGUAGCAAUACUGUGGGUGGCGAGUGGCGGACGGGUGAGGAAUACAUCGGAAUCUGCCUAGUCGUGGGGGAUAACGUAGGGAAACUUACGCUAAUACCGCAUACGACCUACGGGUGAAAGCGGGGGAUCGCAAGACCUCGCGCGAUUAGAUGAGCCGAUGUCCGAUUAGCUAGUUGGCGGGGUAAUGGCCCACCAAGGCGACGAUCGGUAGCUGGUCUGAGAGGAUGAUCAGCCACACUGGAACUGAGACACGGUCCAGACUCCUACGGGAGGCAGCAGUGGGGAAUAUUGGACAACGGGCGCAAGCCUGAUCCAGCCAUGCCGCGUGGGUGAAGAAGGCCUUCGGGUUGUAAAGCCCUUUUGUCCGGAAAGAAAAGCACUGGAUUAAUACUUUCGGUGUUUCUGACGGUACCGGAAGAAUAAGCACCGGCUAACUUCGUGCCAGCAGCCGCGGUAAUACGAAGGGUGCAAGCGUUACUCGGAAUUACUGGGCGUAAAGCGUGCGUAGGUGGUUCGUUAAGUCUGAUGUGAAAGCCCUGGGCUCAACCUGGGAAUUGCAUUGGAUACUGGCGGGCUAGAGUGCGGUAGAGGAUGGCGGAAUUCCCGGUGUAGCAGUGAAAUGCGUAGAGAUCGGGAGGAACAUCUGUGGCGAAGGCGGCCAUCUGGACCAGCACUGACACUGAGGCACGAAAGCGUGGGGAGCAAACA
rnacentral:rRNA from 1 species